GUGGCUGUAGCUCAGUUGGCGGAGCGCCUGGUUGUGGUCCAGGAGGUCGCGGGUUCGAGCCCCGUCAGCCACC
rnacentral:tRNA from 1 species